rnacentral:rRNA from 1 species
GAUGAACGCUAGCGACAGGCUUAACACAUGCAAGUCGAGGGGCAGCGGGGAUUUAGCUUGCUAAAUCUGCCGGCGACCGGCGCACGGGUGAGUAACGCGUAUGCAACCUACCUAUCAGUAAGGGAUAGCCCAUUGAAAGAUGGAUUAAUACCUUAUAAAGCAGGGAUCCCGCAUGGGAAUAUUUGCUAAAGAUUUAUUGCUGAUAGAUGGGCAUGCGUUCCAUUAGUUAGUUGGUGAGGUAACGGCUCACCAAGACAU